GCCCGAGUGGCUCAUUUGGUUGAGCGUCCGACUCCGGCUCGGGUCAUGGUCUCGCGGUUCGUGGGUUCGAGCCCCGCGUCGGGCU
rnacentral:tRNA from 1 species